CCUGGCAGCUGUGUGUCACGUGAUAUAACAGCGAGUGCUGACUUACUGGCGGUGGGUGUUGGCGAGUCCAGUCGACUGCAUGACAGGGUGCUGCUGUCCUGAGCCGGACACUGAGAGACCAGCGCCUCCUGCAGGCUGAUGACAGAGUCUGACAGAAAAGAGAGGACACCACAUUAGGCAAGAAAGUACCUGGAAAGCUUCGUCGGUUUGCUCCUUCUCCAGGAGAUGAAGCAAAUGCUCCGUCUGCAGCUGCAGUCUCGACUCCUCGCUGACGGGAUAAAGCUCCGCCCACUGUGCACAAAGUGUGAACUCCUGCGAACAAAAUGGAAAGGCAUGAGUCUGACCAAAGGUGGAUCGUGUUCAAUGUGUUGAUGGCGGUCGUGCGGCACCUUGGCCUCCAGCAUCCUGGCCAGCAUGGAUUCGGAGUCUGACUUCGACUCGGCCCUUAGGUCCUGCCACGUUACCCACGGCAACGGCGGCUGUAUCGCCAACAUCUGCCAAGAAAGAAGUUUCCCACGAUGAGAGUUUGUGUGAUUACGUGUGGCUGUGCAGUAGUACAUGUGUAAAGCUUACUCCUACCAUCUUUUCUGUACGUGCUAGACACAAAACUUUUUUUACACUUGAUAUCGAUAUCCGGAGCCCUUAGAAUUGGUCAAUACCAAUCCAAUAUCAUAUUAACACAAACCAAACAUACUUUUAUAAUUUCGUAGUUUGGAAUAUUCAAAAAGCUGGAUCAAGUGAAAUUACGCCACAAAUAAUUAUUUAUUAUCAAACCUGUGGAAUUAUUGUUUUUUGAGGGGCAAAACCUAAUGGCCGCGAUAAUUCAUAAAGUUCCGCUCAGGACUCAGUAUACUGAAUGAUGCGGACACGUUUGUUACUGUGUACUUUCAUACAUGGUGACAAUUGUUGCGUUUGGACCAGAUGUUCCUCCAAGGGAAUUUAAGUUGCUGGUCAAUCCCAAGUUAUUUUGAUGACACAUAAGCUGAGUUUAAAUGAUCACCCAGAACAGAAUAGGUAUUUUGCAAUUUAUUCCAAAGCUUUGGGGAGACCAACCUAAAAACAAAACAUUCAAUUUGCGUCGCCUAGUUGAUCUGAAAACCUUACGGAUGCGGUCUUCUUCAAUAUCUCCCUCGCCCCCACCCACCGGAACGAAUACAUAUGUCUAUUGUUCUGCUUAGUCUGAGACACGAAGAGAUAAGAAGGGUGUACUGCUACUCCUCACAUUCCUAAAGCCAAGGUUAACUUGCAGGGUACCAUGGACAUGAGAUUAAAAAAUAGAAAGAGUACAAAUGGAAAACACUAGCUAUUAUCUAUCUCCGUCAAUAUGUUCAGUAUGUGUAAGUAAUAUGCAACUAUAAUUAUUUGAUACUGGUUUAUAUUGAACAGAAUAGGUAUUUUGCAAUUUAUUCCAAAGCUUUGGAGAGACCAACCUAAAAACAAAACAUUCAAUUUGCGUCGCCUAGUUGAUCUGAAAACCUUACGGAUGCGCUGUCUUCUUCAAUAUCUCCCUCGCCCCCACCCACCGGAACGAAUACAUAUGUCUAUUGUUCUGCUUAGUCUGAGACAGGAAGAAAUAAGAAGGGUGUACUGCUACUCCUCACAUUCCAAAAGCCAAGGUUAACUUGCAGUGUACCAUGGACAUGAGAUUAAAAAAGCAGAAAGAGUACAAAUGGAAAACACUAGCUAUUAUCUAUCUCCGUCAAUAUGUUCAGUAUGUGUAAGUAAUAUGCAACUAUAAUUAUUUGAUACUGGUUUAUAUUGAACAGAAUAGGUAUUUUGCAAUUUAUUCCAAAGCUUUGGGGAGACCAACCUAAAAACAAAACAUUCAAUUUGCGUCGCCUAGUUGAUCUGAAAACCUUACGGAUGCGCUGUCUUCUUCAAUAUCUCCCUCGCCCCCACCCACCGGAACGAAUACAUAUGUCUAUUGUUCUGCUUAGUCUGAGACAGGAAGAGAUAAGAAGGGUGUACUGCUACUCCUCACAUUUCUAAAGCCAAGGUUAAUUUGCAGGGUACCAUGGACAUGAGAUUAAAAAAUAGAAAGAGUACAAAUGGAAAACCCUAGCUAUUAUCUAUCUUCGUCAAUAUGUGUAAGUAAUAUGCAACUAUAAUUAUUUGAUACUGGUUUAUAUUAAAUAAAUAAAAUAAUAAUAAAUGGGUUGUACUUGUAUAGCGCUUUUCUACCUUCAAGGUACUCAAAGCCCUUUGACACUACUUCCACAUUUACCCAUUCACACACACAUUCACACACUGAUGGAGGGAGCUGCCAUGCAAGGCGCCAACCAGCACCCAUCAGGAGCAAGGGUGAAGAGUCUUGCUCAGGACACAACGGACAUGACGAGGUUGGUACUAGGUGGGAUUUGAACCAGGGCCCCCCGGGUUGCGCACGGCCACUCUCCCACUGCUGAACAGAAUAGGUAUUUUGCAAUGUAUUCCAAAGCUUUGGGGAGACCAACCUAAAAACAAAACAUUCAAUUUGCGUCGCAUAGUUGAUCUGAAAACCUUACAGAUGCGCUGUCUUCUUCAAUAUCUCCCUCGCCCCCACCCACCGGAACGAAUACAUAUGUCUAUUGUUCUGCUUAGUCUGAGACAGGAAGAGAUAAGAAGGGUGUACUGCUACUCCUCACAUUCCAAAAGCCAAGGUUAACUUGCAGUGUACCAUGGACAUGAGAUUAAAAAAGCAGACAGAGUACAAAUGGAAAACACUAGCUAUUAUCUAUCUCCGUCAAUAUGCUCAGUAUGUGUAAGUAAUAUGCAACUAUAAUUAUGUGAUACUGGUUUAUAUUGAACAGGCAGAGGGGUUAGUGCGUCUGCCUCACAAUACGAAGUUCCUGCAGUCCUGGGUUCAAAUCCAGGCUUGGGAUCUUUCUGUGUGGAGUUUGCAUGUUCUCCCUGUGAAUGUGUGGGUUCCCUCCGGGUACUCCGGCUUCCUCCCACCUCCAAAGACAUGCACCUGGCGAUAGGUUGAUUGGCAACACUAAAUUGGCCCUAGUGUGUGAAUGUGAGUGUGAAUGUUGUCUGUCUAUCUGUGUUGGCCCUGCGAUGAGGUGGCGACUUGUCCAGGGUGUACCCUGUCUUCCGCCCGAUUGUAGCUGAGAUAGGCGUCAGCGCCCCCCUUGACCCUGAAAGGGAAUAAGCGGUAGGAAAUGGAUGGAUGGAGAAUAGGUAUUUUGCAAUUUAUUCCAAAGCUUUGGAGAGACCAACCUAAAAACAAAACAUUCAAUUUGCGUCGCUUAGUUGUCCUUUUUUUCUUAUUUUUUCUCUUCUUUGUCAUGAAAAAGGGAGUUUUUUGUGGUUGGUGCACUAUUUGUAAGUGUAUAUUGUGUUUUUUAUGUUGAUUUAAUAAAAAAUAUUUAUUUAUUUUAA